GGAGAGAUGGCUCAGUGGUUAAGAGCACUGACUGCUCUUCCAGAGAUCCUGAGUUCAAAUCCCAGCAACCCCG
rnacentral:tRNA from 1 species